UACAGAGGGUGCAAGCGUUGUUCGGAAUUAUUGGGCGUAAAGCGCGUGUAGGCGGCGUGACAAGUCGGGUGUGAAAGCCCUCAGCUCAACUGAGGAAGUGCGCCCGAAACUGUCGUGCUUGAGUGCCGGAGAGGGUGGCGGAAUUCCCCAAGUAGAGGUGAAAUUCGUAGAUAUGGGGAGGAACACCGGUGGCGAAGGCGGCCACCUGGACGGUAACUGACGCUGAGACGCGAAAGCGUGGGGAGCAAACAGGAUUAGAUACCCGGGUAGUCC
rnacentral:rRNA from 1 species